rnacentral:rRNA from 1 species
GACGAUUGACGGAGCGAAGCGACGUCAAAGCGUUCAUUAAAGUCGAGUUGGCUUAGGGAUACGUUCGUUGGGUAGGGGAGCGUUCUGUAAGCCUGUGAAGGUGGCCUGUGAGGGUUGCUGGAGGUAUCAGAAGUGCGAAUGCUGACAUAAGUAACGAUAAAGCGGGUGAAAAGCCCGCUCGCCGGAAGACCAAGGGUUCCUGUCCAACGUUAAUCGGGGCAGGGUGAGUCGACCCCUAAGGCGAGGCCGAAAGGCGUAGUCGAUGGGAAACGGGUUAAUAUUCCCGUACUUGGUGUUACUGCGAAGGGGGGACGGAGAAGGCUAUGUUGGCCGGGCGACGGUUGUCCCGGUUUAAGCGUGUAGGUGUGUGUUCCAGGUAAAUCCGGUUCACUUUAACACUGAGGCGUGACGACGAGGCACUACGGUGCUGAAGCAACAAAUGCCCUGCUUCCAGGAAAAGCCUCUAAGCAUCAGGUAACAUCAAAUCGUACCCCAAACCGACACAGGUGGUCAGGUAGAGAAUACCAAGGCGCUUGAGAGAACUCGGGUGAAGGAACUAGGCAAAAUGGUGCCGUAACUUCGGGAGAAGGCACGCUGACAUGUAGGUGAAGUGAUUUACUCGUGGAGCUGAAGUCAGUCGAAGAUACCAGCUGGCUGCAACUGUUUAUUAAAAACACAGCACUGUGCAAACACGAAAGUGGACGUAUACGGUGUGACGCCUGCCCGGUGCCGGAAGGUUAAUUGAUGGGGUCAGCGCAAGCGAAGCUCCUGAUCGAAGCCCCGGUAAACGGCGGCCGUAACUAUAACGGUCCUAAGGUAGCGAAAUUCCUUGUCGGGUAAGUUCCGACCUGCACGAAUGGCGUAAUGAUGGCCAGGCUGUCUCCACCCGAGACUCAGUGAAAUUGAACUCGCUGUGAAGAUGCAGUGUACCCGCGGCAAGACGGAAAGACCCCGUGAACCUUUACUAUAGCUUGACACUGAACAUUGAGCCUUGAUGUGUAGGAUAGGUGGGAGGCUUUGAAGUGUGGACGCCAGUCUGCAUGGAGCCGACCUUGAAAUACCACCCUUUAAUGUUUGAUGUUCUAACGUGGACCCGUAAUCCGGGUUGCGGACAGUGUCUGGUGGGUAGUUUGACUGGGGCGGUCUCCUCCUAAAGAGUAACGGAGGAGCACGAAGGUUGGCUAAUCCUGGUCGGACAUCAGGAGGUUAGUGCAAUGGCAUAAGCCAGCUUGACUGCGAGCGUGACGGCGCGAGCAGGUGCGAAAGCAGGUCAUAGUGAUCCGGUGGUUCUGAAUGGAAGGGCCAUCGCUCAACGGAUAAAAGGUACUCCGGGGAUAACAGGCUGAUACCGCCCAAGAGUUCAUAUCGACGGCGGUGUUUGGCACCUCGAUGUCGGCUCAUCACAUCCUGGGGCUGAAGUAGGUCCCAAGGGUAUGGCUGUUCGCCAUUUAAAGUGGUACGCGAGCUGGGUUUAGAACGUCGUGAGACAGUUCGGUCCCUAUCUGCCGUGGGCGCUGGAGAACUGAGGGGGGCUGCUCCUAGUACGAGAGGACCGGAGUGGACGCAUCACUGGUGUUCGGGUUGUCAUGCCAAUGGCACUGCCCGGUAGCUAAAUGCGGAAGAGAUAAGUGCUGAAAGCAUCUAAGCACGAAACUUGCCCCGAGAUGAGUUCUCCCUGAGACUUAGAGUCUCCUGAAGGAACGUUGAAGACGACGACGUUGAUAGGCCGGGUGUGUAAGCGCAGCGAUGCGUUGAGCUAACCGGUACUAAUGAACCGUGAGGCUUAACCUU